rnacentral:rRNA from 1 species
UACGGGGGGAGCAAGCGUUGUUCGGAUUUACUGGGCGUAAAGGGCGCGUAGGCGGCGCAACAAGUCACUUGUGAAAUCUCCGGGCUUAACUCGGAAAGGUCAAGUGAUACUGUUGUGCUAGAGUGCGGAAGGGGCAACUGGAAUUCUCGGUGUAGCGGUGAAAUGCGUAGAUAUCGAGAGGAAGACCAGUGGCGAAGGCGGAUCUCUGGACAGUUCCUGACGCUGAGGCGCGAAGGCCAGGGGAGCAAACGGG